rnacentral:sRNA from 1 species
CCCUAGCCCCGAUAGAAGUGUAAAUCCUUUUGUGCCGGGGUUCGGCGCAAAAGAUUGGAACGGAUAGCGGGAUUAGCU